CCUACGGGUGGCUGCAGUGGGGAAUAUUGGACAAUGGGGGGAACCCUGAUCCAGCGACGCCGCGUGAGUGAAGAAGUAUUUCGGUAUGUAAAGCUCUAUCAGCAGGGAAGAAAAUGACGGUACCUGACUAAGAAGCCCCGUCUAACUACGUGCCAGCAGCCGCGGCAAUACGGAGGGGGCCAGCGUUAUCCGGAUUUACUGGGUGUAAAGGGAGCGUAGAGGGUUUUGCAAGUCUGAAGUGAAAGGCCAAGGCUCAACCAUGGGACUGCUUUGGAAACUGUAAAACUGGAGUGCAGGAGAGGUAAGCGGAAUUCCUAGUGUAGCGGUGAAAUGCGUAGAUAUUAGGAGGAACACCAGUGGCGAAGGCAGCUUACUGGACUGUCACUGACGUUGAGGCUCGAAGGCGUGGGGAGCAAACAGGAUUAGAUACCCCAGUAGUC
rnacentral:rRNA from 1 species